UGUCUUUGUACCUGUUAUAACAGCAACUAUCACUAUAGAUAUUUAUGUGCUCCAUUUAUUGUUGAGUUAGUACAUAUAUUUUGGAUAUAUUAAUAUAUCUGGUACAAAUACUUUUUGUACUGUCUUGUUUCUUCUUGACAUAUCUACCAGUCAAAUAUUGACCAUUCUCAUCUACUAGUAGUAGCAAAUUGUUUUGGUCAAAAUGUCUACGACAAUAAUCUAAUUGGACUUUUUAAAAGGUGACAAGAUUAAUCUAUUUUCAAGUAACGUACCAAAUCCGUCCAAGUUUAUACGGGUUAGAAUAUUAUUCGUUUAUUGGUUUAUAUCAACAGGUUAAAUCUAAAUUGACCGAUCAAACUGUUAGGUCAAAAAAAAAAAAAAAUAGUGUACAACCAAUUGAUAAAAAUGCGAGCCUAACAUGAAAAAUCAACAA